AUGACAGGAGCUGAUUGGCUGGCACUUUAUCGCCGUGCUAUUUAUCACUCUCCAAGGCUUGAUAAAUCUGGGCCUAAGUUUCAAAUUUUGGAUGCUCUGUAAUCUAUGCAGCACCAGUUGACCCAAACCUGUUUCCUAACAUGACAUCACCACCGUACACCUCGACAAGUUGGCGAUGAAUUUUAGCUGCUGAUGUGUCCUCUAACCGCAGCAAUCUGAUCACACUACACACCUCAAUGUUUGACCACGAUUCAACCAGCCCCACCAUGCUACAAGUGAUGUUAGGACAGUACGACUGAUAUGAGAUGAAGUCUAAUGGCCGUGAAGCGCUUCCACAGCUGCUGAGUGAUCACUUCCGGUAACCGGGAUGAGGCUGCGACAGGAAGUGGACGGGCCAAAUGCUUGCUUGGAUUAUAAACAGGGUGUGAAAAAAAAUCAUGAUUUUUUUUUAAAAGGACAAAAAAAUUAUUUUUAUUUAAAUCUGGAUUUUUUUUAUUUAAAUUGAAUUUUUAUAACAAUGAUCAAGUAAACAAAUAACCCAAGUAAAAACAAUAAUUCAAACUUAUUUUAAAAUACUGUAACUUUUAUAUAUUUAAUUUAAAUGACUUGACAGCGUCUCUAUGAAUCAUGGUGAUGGCACAGCAAACUACACACAAAUCACACAAACUGCAAAAGGAAAGAAACAGCAAUGAUGUUAAAAGCUACAGUUUCAAUGUGCAUUUUUCCAGCAAACUAUUGGAACCACUGUUAACUCAACCUCCUGGUCAAACAAUAGGUCAUUAAACGGAGUUGCUUUUGCUUGGAACCUGACUAGUGUUCGUUGAAGGGUAUUUGAAUGUGGAUAUUAUAAUAUUUUGAUUGAACCCCAAAGUGCAACUGUUGUUCAAUGAAGCUUGAACCACCAGAUACUGUAAUAUACUCAGCAAAAAAAAGGACCUGGGAAAAUACCCUCUCACCAGAGAAGACACCCAAAACAUGGUCAUCAACUUCGUCAACUUCCAAAUGAAAGCUUCAUCGGUAUGUCUAGUGGAACACUGCCCAGCAAGCUGUACCGAGUCUGCUAAUUAUCAUAUAGGAAUAUCCUGAAUGCUUAGCCAUAGGUAUG